UCCUGAUAAUGUUGCAAAAUGGUUUUGGCUUUUAUAGCCAAAUAGAUUACAAUGUAUAUAUAUAUUUUUUUUGUUUUCUUUCUAUAUGUUUCUUUGUUGUUCUCUGCUUUUCUUUUCUUUUUUUGUCUUUGCAGGUGGUGGUGAGGGGGGCCUUUGAUCAAUGGCGAUGGGGAGCCGCGCCCCUUGCCGCUUCGGUGAAAUGGUGGCAGAGGAGGCAUCAAAUCCUUGGACAACAAGCUUGCUGAUGUGGCGAAGGCAACAACGCUAAAAGUUUUAGGGGAAUUAGGGGUUUUGGUUGUCUAGGAUAGUGGCUUAGGUUAUGUACUUGGGCUUGGGUUUUUUGGGUAUUUUAGGGUUAAAUGGGUCUUGGGUUUUUUUUUGGGUUAGAUGGAUCUUAGGUAGUAUUAGGGUCUUGGGUUAGGAGAUUGGGUCUUGGGUAGUUUGGUUUGGGCUUGUAAAAUGGACUUCUUCUUUUUUUAAUUAAUGGACUUGUUUGUUUUUAUUUAUUUUUGUUUAUCUUUUUUUAAUUUUCAUUUGGGCGGGACGAAAUUGGGCCAUUACAGAUAGCAAUAUGUUUCAUUUUGCUAUGAAACAUAAGACUCUCACAAAGGUAAGUGCUUAGGUGGUUUUGUAAGAGGAAAGCAAAGUUCACGAAGAAGAUUGGCAAGCCAAUUGGUUUUAACAAGUGUAGUAGCAACGGUUCGAUAUUAGACUUCAGUAAAGGAA
rnacentral:lncRNA from 1 species